rnacentral:lncRNA from 1 species
UCCUAAUGUCCUAUACCGGAUUGGACCAUAUCAGUAUAGUGUAUUGUACUAUACUGAUAUUUGGUACGCUGUCUCGUACUAUAUUGAAUCAUGUACCAACAUUAUAAUAGAAUGAUAUAAGUACGAGAUCCAAUGCCAAGAUGGUGAGCUUUGCUCCCAACCAUCCCUGAGGAUUAGAUGAUGCUUUUGUGGCCUUAUCCAUGAGUGUUGCUUCUCCUCUCAAUG